UACAUAGGUCUCAAGCGUUGUUCGGAUUCAUUGGGCGUAAAGGGUGCGUAGGUGGCUCUGUAAGUCGGGUGUGAAAUUUCGGAGCUUAACUCCGAAACUGCAUUCGAUACUGCGGUGCUUGAGGACUGGAGAGGAGACUGGAAUUCAUGGUGUAGCAGUGAAAUGCGUAGAGAUCAUGAGGAAGACCAGUGGCGAAGGCGGGUCUCUGGACAGUUCCUGACACUGAGGCACGAAGGCCAGGGGAGCAAACGGG
rnacentral:rRNA from 1 species